GGGAGCCUUGUUUCCCCAGCUGAGCCACCAGCUGGUUAGUGCCCAGGCUGGGCCUCCGUCUACUGCCUCCCCCGGCAGGCCAUCCUCACUCCCUUGCUGAGACUGAAGAAGGGAGAGGCACAGGCAGAGCACUGGAUGGUUUAUGCAACCAUCACAGUCGGGACUCCACUGGUACCUCAUGAGCCUCUCCAGUAGCUGAGAUUACAGAAGAGUGCCAUCACGGCCAGUUCAUUUGCUAGGAGCCAGGACCACAAGCUGGGUCACACAGAGACAGAAGAACCAAACUCCAUGGCAGCGCUGCAGGGCGGGGAGCUCCAGGCACCAAGAAUAUCUGCAGACAGAGAGAGCCAGCCAAUCUUCAGUGGCAGCAGGGGAUGGGCAGGGGCUGGAGGAGCCCAAGAAGCAGCCCACGGAGGAGAGCUCAAAUCCCAGCCCCUGCCUGAGCCUCAAGGCCUCUCAGUCUGUACCCCCAGGCCGCCUCUCUACCUGCCAGGCCCAGCAACAAGGCAGAGCUGCAGGCAGGUAGGAAUCCCCUGGGAUCUGUCACACUCAUGCCUCUGGCGCAGAUCUGGGGCAGCCCUGGAACCCCAAUUCCUAGCAAGCAUCCAGGUAAGGCUCUAGGCAAAGCUCUUAAGGGGCCAGCAGCCCUGAGCUCCAGCUUGCCAAAGAGCCAGCGUCACACCACAUAGGAGAGACAGAAAUCUUUUCAAAAGUGGUCCCAGAGGGUGGGAGGUGGAGGUCAGAGAGGAGAGAGCCUGGGGACAAUAGUGAAUAGAGUUGGGAUUAUUUCCUGAACUCUGACUCCUCGUGGGAACGAGGUUAUGAAAAGCUUCUCUUAAAAUGGUUAUUAUUUA